ACGCUGGCGGCAGGCCUAACACAUGCAAGUCGAGCGGUAGAGAGAAGCUUGCUUCUCUUGAGAGCGGCGGACGGGUGAGUAAUGCCUAGGAAUCUGCCUGGUAGUGGGGGAUAACGUCCGGAAACGGACGCUAAUACCGCAUACGUCCUACGGGAGAAAGCAGGGGACCUUCGGGCCUUGCGCUAUCAGAUGAGCCUAGGUCGGAUUAGCUAGUUGGUGGGGUAAUGGCUCACCAAGGCGACGAUCCGUAACUGGUCUGAGAGGAUGAUCAGUCACACUGGAACUGAGACACGGUCCAGACUCCUACGGGAGGCAGCAGUGGGGAAUAUUGGACAAUGGGCGAAAGCCUGAUCCAGCCAUGCCGCGUGUGUGAAGAAGGUCUUCGGAUUGUAAAGCACUUUAAGUUGGGAGGAAGGGCAGUUACCUAAUACGUGGUUGUUUUGACGUUACCGACAGAAUAAGCACCGGCUAACUCUGUGCCAGCAGCCGCGGUAAUACAGAGGGUGCAAGCGUUAAUCGGAAUUACUGGGCGUAAAGCGCGCGUAGGUGGUUCGUUAAGUUGGAUGUGAAAUCCCCGGGCUCAACCUGGGAACUGCAUUCAAAACUGACGAGCUAGAGUAUGGUAGAGGGUGGUGGAAUUUCCUGUGUAGCGGUGAAAUGCGUAGAUAUAGGAAGGAACACCAGUGGCGAAGGCGACCACCUGGACUGAUACUGACACUGAGGUGCGAAAGCGUGGGGAGCAAAC
rnacentral:rRNA from 1 species